GUUACUGGAAACCUCAUUCUGCAAGUAUGUGAUGAAGCUGUCAAAAAAAAAAAGCUACAGUGAAACUGUGAACCCAGCCUGAACAUCUACAACUCCACCUUGGGGUUUUAUCAAGGCCGUGUGGUCCAGUGGUUAAAGAAAAUGGCUUGUAACCAGGAGGUCCCCAGUUCAAAUCCUGGCUCACUCACUGACUCACUGUGUGACCUUGGACAAGUCACUUAACCUCCUUGUGCUCCGUCUUUCAGAUGGCUGAUACAAAGCCGGGAGCUGCAGCCAGAAGUUAGCCCGGACCUGAACGCACAAAAGCACCACCACUCAGAGCACCGCACCUGCACCCAGAGCACACACAGUCUGGAGAUGUGUUGUUUGUGACUGUGUUACGUUUUUGUGUUUGAAUUAUUAUUUCGGGACUGCAACCCCUUGUUUUUGGCGCUGGCAAUACCCAUUGCUGGGUAGAGCCAGCUUUAUUAUUUAAAAACCUUGUCAAGGAUAUUAAAAUACCUGA